UACGGGGGGGGCAAGCGUUGUUCGGAAUUACUGGGCGUAAAGGGCUCGUAGGCGGCCAACUAAGUCAUACGUGAAAUCCCUCGGCUUAACCGGGGAACUGCGUCUGAUACUGGAUGGCUUGAGUUCGGGAGAGGGAUGCGGAAUUCCAGGUGUAGCGGUGAAAUGCGUAGAUAUCUGGAGGAACACCGGUGGCGAAGGCGGCCCUCUGGCUCGACCCUGACGCUGAGGCGCGAAAGCGUGGGGAGCGAACGGG
rnacentral:rRNA from 1 species